UACGAAGGGGGCUAGCGUUGUUCGGAAUUACUGGGCGUAAAGCGUGCGCAGGCGGCCAUCCAAGUCAGUGGUGAAAGCCCGGAGCUCAACUCCGGAAUUGCCAUUGAAACUGUUUGGCUCGAGUACGAGAGAGGUGAGUGGAAUUCCCAGUGUAGAGGUGAAAUUCGUAGAUAUUCGGAAGAACACCAGUGGCGAAGGCGGCUCACUGGACCGGUAUUGACGCUGAGGUGCGAAAGCGUGGGGAGCAAACAGG
rnacentral:rRNA from 1 species